AUACGGAGGAUCCGAGCGUUAUCCGGAUUUAUUGGGUUUAAAGGGUGCGCAGGCGGGAGAUUAAGUCGGCGGUGAAAUUUUUCAGCUCAACUGUAAAGGGGCCUUCGAAACUGGUUUUCUUGAGUGUAGAUGAAGUAGGCGGAAUUUGUGGUGUAGCGGUGAAAUGCAUAGAUAUCACGAGGAACUCCGAUUGCGCAGGCAGCUUACUAAACUACUACUGACGCUCAGGCACGAAGGCGUGGGGAUCAAACAGGAUUAGAUACCCUGGUAGUCCACGCAGUAAACGAUGAUUACUAGCUGUUUGCGAUACAAUGUAAGCGGCUGAGCGAAAGCGUUAAGUAAUCCACCUGGGGAGUACGUUCGCAAGAAUGAAACUCAAAUGAAUUGACGGGG
rnacentral:rRNA from 1 species